rnacentral:rRNA from 1 species
CAGUAGCCACGGGAACACGUAGGGCGCAAGCGUUGUCCGGAAUUAUUGGGCGUAAAGAGCUCGUAGGCGGUCUGUUGCGUCCGCUGUGAAAACUCGGGGCUUAACCCCGAGCCUACAGUGGAUACGGGCAGACUAGAGGUAGGUAGGGGAGAAUGGAAUUCCCGGUGUAGCGGUGAAAUGCGCAGAUAUCGGGAGGAACACCGGUGGCGAAGGCGGUUCUCUGGGCCUUACCUGACGCUGAGGAGCGAAAGCGUGGGGAGCGAACAGGAUUAGAUACCCCUGUAGUCCCUGUCUCUUAUAC